AGUGACGCAGAGAAGGAAGGAUCCAACGUGUAGCAAACAUAACUUCUGAAAAAGAAAUAGGUUAUUGUUGGUAUUAAGAAUGAAGAAGGCAGGACUUAAGCCAUGGCAGGUCUUCAAAUGACUUAAAGAAGACUGAAGAAAAAUGCAAGAAACUUCCCCAACCUCCAAGGAAGUUGAGCUUCUGUUGCAGAAAUAUUCUUUGCCACAGCAAUAUGGGAAGAAAGAUCAUUCAAGCUCUUCUCUGUCCCAAGUGAGGAGAUGAACAACAAAUGGAUUCUAAAGGCAUGAAGUGUUCAGCACUGCUGUGAGUACUGAUCCAGCUGAUAGCUUCUGCUUCUGUGUACAUUAAGAACUGAAAUAUGAU
rnacentral:lncRNA from 1 species